AUCUACAAAAAAAAUUAUUAGAGUCUUUUUCUGCUUAUAUGUCAAUUUUUAUUACGCUCUGCCAAUAUCGCCCCACCAUGUUAAGAUCAUUGCGGCACGAGAAUAAGGCAUGAAUUUCUGCGAGGUGGAGAACCGUGGGUUUUAAAUAGAAUAAUCUGAAAAAGAGUCGGCGUCUUAUUAUAGGACAAAUCUGAUAGAAACCCCUAAAGAAUAUUUUAGAUUUUUGAGGAUACACCUAGAUUCUAUUAAUUAUGGUUAGAUUUUAUUAGAUUAUUUUAAAUUUGGAUAAGAUAUGAUAAGAUUAUAUUUGGAUGUUAUUAGAUUUUGUAUAGAUUACUCUAGAUUUGGAUAAGAUAUGAUAAGAUUACUCUAGAUUUGGAUAAGAUAUAGUUGGAUAUGGUAGAAUAUUCUAGAGUUUGUGAUCCAACACUAUAAAUAGCCCUCCCAUCUACUCACAAGCACACACCACACUCACGGACUCAACUAGAAAAGAAAAGAGAGAGAGGGAGAGAGAAAAGAGGAGGAAAGAAGAGGAAAAGAAAUAGGUACGAGUCAUUUGAAGUAGUUGAUCAUAAGUCAAGUUGGGGCGGAACGAAAGGAAUCGUAAUUGGCCACAUGGUCUCAAGGCAGGGAAUAGAAGUGGACAAGGCACAAGCCGCUCUUGUCGGGGAUAUAUAGCUCGGAGAGACGUAGAACACAAACGCGUUCAUUUGCAGCAUAUACCUUCGCCCCGUCUGUGCUAGUGCCACUGGGCAUGCAGUGGUUGUGCUGGAGCAUGCGGGGAUUCACACAAAAAGUUCAGAAAUUAAUGCAUUGUUUGGAUUUAAACUUGAAAAAAAAAAAUUCUGAAGCUGUCCAUUUGCACUCUACUGUUUGAUGGAAUUAUUCACAGGGAUGUUUGGUUGAUUAAUUGUGUUAGAAAAAGUGAAUUGUCAAGAAUCUUGUUUUCA